UAGACUGGCAAAACAUGAAGUCAGGUUGGCUCCUACCAGAUAGUUGAAGACAGGUGAACAUUUCCCAACCCACAUCCAGCAUUACCAGAGCUAUGAAUAAGACCUGGGCCUAGACAGUGAGAAAAUCUGGAUUUUAGUGGCUUGGUGCAAAUGGGCUCUAAGAAAGAUGCUCAUGGGAGAUGUGGAGGGAGGAAAGGAAGCAGUACCUGUACUGUUCCUCAUUCACUCUGUUGCUUACCUGCUGGCACAUCUCAUUGGUGUGAGACGGUGGCCAGCCUUACAGCUGCCUCAUCAUGCCCGGAUCCUCCAGAUUCUCUGAUUCACGAAUAAGGUGAGCAGAAAGGAGCAACUGCUCUCGACACAGUGAUAAGACAUUCGCCUGUCAGAGGGUGGGGAAUAAACCCCAUGAAAAAUCAAGGACCUGCAACCUCAGGGAAAUAUCUAGGGGUCCAGUGUGUGACAUGUUAAGGACACUUUUUCACACAUUUACUGAGUAACCUAAAAAGCUACAAGUUGUGAGCAGGGGCCCAGAACAAGAGCAAGCUCUGUACGAAGCCCAGACUGCCGCUGCCACUUGUGUGACUGAAUACCAGUUUAUGGGCUCAAUGCACAGUGAGGCCAAUAAACCAAAACGUCAGACUUUUGAGCAGAGAGGGAUUUAUUUCAGGGCCAGGCAAGGAGGAUGGGUGAUUCAUGACCCCACCCCCACCCCCAAACACCCUGAAGGGUUUUGGCAAAGUAUUUUUAAAGGCAAGGUGAGGGGGGCAGCAGUCACAGGGUAUAUGAACAACUCAUGCACGAUUCUCUGAUUAGCUGAUGUUGAGGUAACAAGGCAGUGUCACGGGGUUAACAUUAUCAAUCGUCAGGCACCGGGAAGUCUAGGGGUUUAUGAUCUUCAAGUAGUUAAUGUCUUCCAUUCAGUG
ensembl:lncRNA